CCCCGCCCGCCGCGUCAGCGAGCCGCGCCCCCGCGCCGCAUGGCCCCGGCGACCCCGCGGGGGCCCCUCGCAGGCGCCCGCGCCUCGGCUCUAGGUGGCGGCGGGCCGCGCGACUGACAACUCCAGAAACUUUCCCGGCCCGGCUCGGCUCGGCCGCGGGGUAGCGGAAGGCAAAGUCCGCACCACCGAGUUUUACGGCGGGGAACCGCGGCGGCCCCAGCGGCGCCUAAAGCCGCGGCGAAGGCGUUUCUUCCCGCGGCCGGGACCAGCUCGCUAAGGCACGCGACUCAUUUCUUCCAGCAAGUCCGGGCAGGGCCCCGCUGGGCUGAGCGCCGCGCCUCGGCGACCGGCCGGGCGCGCCUCGGGACCCCUCUCUGGAAAAUGAGCUCUUCCAGCUCCACAUGACUCUCUCCCCUCGACGCUAAAGAAAGCGUUUAGCAACAAAAGGUGCUCUGAUGUCAGGCUCUUUGCAUGGAAAUGAGCCACAGACAGGAGAACAAAUCGCCUGUUGAAAGAGCAGCCGCGCUGCGUCUCCCGCCUGCGCAGGCUUCCAGUCGCGCCAUGCACGGAAACGUUUUGGGCCACAGGAACUCGAGAAAGUGGAUCUUUAAGCGACUGCCGCCGAAAGCGUACGCGAGGAGUCGGUGUCGCUGCACGAUCGAUCCGCACCUCGCCCCGCGUGCAGUCAAGCCAUCCCAGGAAAUGCAACUCUGCCGCUGUCAGCCGAGACUUGCAAAAACAAGUGUGAAAGCUUGGGCACGAGCCAUCGUGUGCACCGUUUUUAUUAUGAGCGGGACGUUUUGGUUCCUGGGUGCCCACAAUGCCCUGCAUUGCUAGGGGUUUCGGGCUGUUUAGGGAAAAUGCGCUCUGGGUUUUAAUGGUUGCCUUGUAGUGAGAGCAUAGGGAAGGGCCAGUUUCGGAGCUAAAUGUUAUGGUUGUAACCACUGAGGCAACACACACUCCGUGUGUGUGUUUUUCCAAGGACAAGAUCCAUGACGGUCCUUUAUACACAUCUGACUCUG